rnacentral:rRNA from 1 species
ACUACACCGUAUUCUGUGAGUUGCGAACGGGUGAGUAACGCGUAGGUAACCUGCCUGGUAGCGGGGGAUAACUAUUGGAAACGAUAGCUAAUACCGCAUAAGAACAUUUACUGCAUGGUAGAUGUUUAAAAGGUGCAAAAGCAUCACUACCAGAUGGACCUGCGUUGUAUUAGCUAGUUGGUGAGGUAACGGCUCACCAAGGCAACGAUACAUAGCCGACCUGAGAGGGUGAUCGGCCACACUGGGACUGAGACACGGCCCAGACUCCUACGGGAGGCAGCAGUAGGGAAUCUUCGGCAAUGGGGGGAACCCUGACCGAGCAACGCCGCGUGAGUGAAGAAGGUUUUCGGAUCGUAAAGCUCUGUUGUUAAGGAAGAACGUGUGUGAGAGUGGAAAGUUCACACAGUGACGGUACUUAACCAGAAAGGGACGGCUAACUACGUGCCAGCAGCCGCGGUAAUACGUAGGUCCCGAGCGUUGUCCGGAUUUAUUGGGCGUAAAGCGAGCGCAGGCGGUUAGAUAAGUCUGAAGUGAAAGGCAGUGGCUCAACCAUUGUAGGCUUUGGAAACUGUUUAACUUGAGUGCAGAAGGGGAGAGUGGAAUUCCAUGUGUAGCGGUGAAAUGCGUAGAUAUAUGGAGGAACACCGGUGGCGAAAGCGGCUCUCUGGUCUGUAACUGACGCUGAGGCUCGAAAGCGUGGGGAGCGAACAGGAUUAGAUACCCUGGUAGUCCACGCCGUAAACGAUGAGUGCUAGGUGUUAGGUCCUUUCCGGGACUUAGUGCCG